UGAUCAGUCAGGCUGCUGGUGAUUCUCCAGGACUUAUCUGGUCCUGGAUAUAACCACUGCCAGACUGAAUG
rfam:Mus musculus chromosome 7, GRC primary reference assembly.